AGAUGGAGGCACUGAAAAUUU
rnacentral:miRNA from 1 species